GAUGAAGAACGUAGCGAAAUGCGAUAAGUAAUGUGAAUUGCAGAAUUCAGUGAAUCAUCGAAUCUUUGAACGCACCUUGCGCCCUUUGGCUAUUCCAGAGGGCAUGCCUGUUUGAGUAUCAUGAACACCUCAACUCUCAUGGUUCUGCCAUGAUGAGCUUGGACUUUGGAGGUCUUGCUGGCCCCUGUGGUCAGCUCCUCUCAAAUGGAUCAGCUUGCCAGUGUUUGGUGGCAUCACAGGUGUGAUAACUAUCUACGCUUGUGGUUUUCCACCAGGUGACCUUCAGUGAUGGAGGUUCGCUGGAGCUCAUAAACGUCUCUCCUCAGCGAGGACAGCUUCUUGAACGUUUGAUCUCAAAUCAGGUAGGGCUACCCGCUGAACUUAAGCAUAUCAAUAAGCGGAGGA
rnacentral:misc_RNA from 1 species